CGGCGAUGAUGACACUCC
rnacentral:piRNA from 1 species